rnacentral:rRNA from 1 species
ACUGUACGAGUUUGAUCCUGGCUCAGGAUGAACGCUAGCGGCAGGCCUAACACAUGCAAGUCGAGGGGUAGUUACUUUCGGGUAAUGAGACCGGCGCACGGGUGCGUAACGCGUAUGCAAUCUACCUUUUACAGGGGAAUAGCCCAGAGAAAUUUGGAUUAAUACCCCAUAGUAUUACAGAUUCGCAUGUUUCUGUGAUUAAAGUUCCAACGGUUGAGGAUGGGCAUGCGUGACAUUAGCUUGUUGGUGAGGUAACGGCUCACCAAGGCAACGAUGUCUAGGGGUUCUGAGAGGAUGAUCCCCCCACACUGGUACUGAGACACGGACCAGACUCCUACGGGAGGCAGCAGUGAGGAAUAUUGGACAAUGGAGGCAACUCUGAUCCAGCCAUCCCGCGUGCAGGAAGAAGGCCCUAUGGGUUGUAAACUGCUUUUAUACAGGAAUAAACCCCUCUACGUGUAGAGGGCUGAAGGUACUGUAAGAAUAAGCACCGGCUAACUCCGUG